AUCCUCCACCCCCGGCGCCAGCCCACAUCUAGCCUCCUCCCCUGGCGCCGCCCCCCUCCAGCCUUCUUCCCCUGGCGCCGCCCCCUCCCCACCUCCCCUCCAGCCUCCUCCCCAGCCACGGCGCGGCUCCCCUCCGCCACCCACGGCGUCGUGCGCAGGCGGCGAUGCCACCUCCAAGCCAGCCUCCCCUGACCUGCCGCUAGAUGGGAUCUUGUUUGCCCGCCGCGUCCGACAAGCCGACAGUCGCCGCUACCCCGGUUCUGCAGGGGAUAUGCACCGGCCUCCCCAACCUCCUUCAUCCAUGGAUCCGGCCUGCAUUUCGCGGCCGCCACAACCGGCCCCGCUGCUGCUACCCUCGGCGUCCAGCGGCGGCGUCCACAGGCUAUCCCCUCCGACAAACAGCGUGAGCUCCCCCUUCCUCCUAUCUGGCCUGGCCAUCAACCUCCUGCUGUUCGUCGAGUCCGGAUCCGUUGCGACCUCCCCCCGCACUGGAAUCGGGCUGACCUGCUCCCCGUGGAUCCGCCACCUCCCCCCAUGAUCUGGGCACAGCAGCGCCCCGGUGCAGCUCCUCCUCAACUAACCCCACGCCGGCGGCAAGUCGUGGGCCGUGUGCCCCUGCUCACAUGCUUCAGCGUGGAUUUCCGGGGUAGGAGCACGGGGCUUGGUGCGCUCGUCCACCCCCGACAACAUCAGGAGGCCACCUCGUGCAGCAACGUGGCCAAGGCGUAGACCUGGGGCUCGUUCCCCUCCUCUUCGGUAAUGUGUGGCUCUCCACAGUGCAUCACCUCGGCAAAGGUCCUCCCGGCGAGAUCCAGCUGGCCUUGCAGUUCGUCUGUCCUUGGCUGUGGCUGGGCUUCCUAUCCACUGCACUUCGCUUGGUUCGACCGCAAAGACGAGCUCCUCUUUGCCGAGGAGCAAAAUUCUUCAUCGUCCAGCUAAGGAUGCAGUCCAUCGGGGCGAUGUGCUGUCCACGACGAGCCCCAAUGCAGUGCAGAAAUGAAGAAACAUCAAAAAAGACAAACAAAAAUUGUACUGCGCUCCUGGGUGAUCAGUGCGGUGCCCCUGAUGCAGUUUGGCAGCUCACUAUAGCAGUACAUAACGGCAGUAUCAUGUUUGAGAAAAGUUAUUUUAUGGAUGAGCAUCUGUCGUGCGGUUCCAGUGCAGAUGAGGUUCUAUCGCGAUCCACUGUUUUCUUGCUUGCAGGGCAGGGGGUCGCCUCGGAAAAGAAAAAAAGUAGAAUUUUGUAGCAGCUCAUUAACCCUUUGUAUGAAGUGCAUUUUCUUUCGUGUGUCUUAAAAUUCAGUCGACUACGUAAACCCUUGCAGUGCA